rnacentral:rRNA from 1 species
GGGGAAUAUUGCGCAAUGGGGGAAACCCUGACGCAGCGACGCCGCGUGAGCGAUGAAGGCUUUCGGGUCGUAAAGCUCUGUUCUAAGGGACGAAGUCCUUACUUGUAAAUAAUGAGUAGGGGUGACGGUACCUUAGGAGAAAGCCCCGGCUAACUACGUGCCAGCAGCCGCGGUAAAACGUAGGGGGCGAGCGUUGUCCGGAAUUACUGGGCGUAAAGAGCGUGUAGGCGGGUGCUUAAGUCAGGUGUGAAAGACCGGGGCUCAACUCCGGGGUUGCACUUGAAACUGGGUAUCUUGAGGGCAGGAGAGGAAAGCGGAAUUCCUGGUGUAGCGGUGAAAUGCGUAGAUAUCAGGAGGAACACCGGUGGCGAAGGCGGCUUUCUGGACUGACCCUGACGCUGAGACGCGAAAGCGUGGGGAGCAAAC